GAUGAACGCUGGCGGCGUGCUUAACACAUGCAAGUUGAACGAAACUUUCAGAAACAGAUUCUUCGGAUGACGAUUCUGAAACGUUUAGUGGCGGAUGGGCGAGUAACACGUGAGGAACCUGCCUUUCACAGGGGAAUAACACUGGGAAACCAGUGCUAAUACCGCAUAAUGUAUUAAAGUGGCAUCACAUUAAUACCAAAGAUUUUAUCGGUGAAAGAUGGCCUCGCGCCUGAUUAGCUAGUAGGUGAGGUAACGGCUCACCUAGGUGAUGAUCAGUAGCCGGACUGAGAGGUUGAUCGGCCGCAUUGGGACUGAGACACGGCCCAGACUCCUACGGGAGGCAGCAGUGGGGAAUAUUGCACAAUGGGCGGAAGCCUGAUGCAGCGACGCCGCGUGGGGGAUGAAGGCCUUCGGGUUGUAAACUCCUUUCGACAGGGACGAAGCUUUUGUGACGGUACCUGUAUAAGAAGCACCGGCUAACUACGUGCCAGCAGCCGCGGUAAUACGUAGGGUGCGAGCGUUGUCCGGAAUUACUGGGCGUAAAGAGCUCGUAGGUGGUUUGUCGCGUCGUCUGUGAAAUUCCGGGGCUUAACUCCGGGCGUGCAGGCGAUACGGGCUGACUUGAGUGCUGUAGGGGAGACUGGAAUUCCUGGUGUAGCGGUGAAAUGUGCAGAUAUCAGGAGGAACACCGAUGGCGAAGGCAGGUCUCUGGGCAGUAACUGACGCUGAGGAGCGAAAGCAUGGGUAGCGAACAGGAUUAGAUACCCUGGUAGUCCAUGCCGUAAACGGUGGGCGCUAGGUGUAGGGGGCUUCCACGUCUUCUGUGCCGUAGCUAACGCAUUAAGCGCCCCGCCUGGGGAGUACGGCCGCAAGGCUAAAACUCAAAGGAAUUGACGGGGGCCCGCACAAGCGGCGGAGCAUGUGGAUUAAUUCGAUGCAACGCGAAGAACCUUACCUGGGCUUGACAUAUACAAGACAGGCGUAGAGAUACGUCCUCCCUUGUGGUUUGUAUACAGGUGGUGCAUGGUUGUCGUCAGCUCGUGUCGUGAGAUGUUGGGUUAAGUCCCGCAACGAGCGCAACCCUUGCAAUUAGUUACUAACAGAUAGUGCUGAGGACUCUAAUUGGACUGCCGAUGAUAAAUCGGAGGAAGGUGGGGAUGACGUCAAAUCAUCAUGCCCUUUAUGUCCUGGGCUACACACGUGCUACAAUGGUCGGCACAAAGAGGAGCGAAAUGGUGACAUCAAGCAAAUCUCAAAAAACCGAUCCCAGUUCGGAUUGUACUCUGCAACUCGAGUACAUGAAGUCGGAGUUGCUAGUAAUCGCGGAUCAGAAUGCCGCGGUGAAUGCGUUCCCGGGUCU
rnacentral:rRNA from 1 species